UCCGGCCGAAUGUUUGUUAACUGUGUCAGCAUACCACAGAAGAUUCGAAAAUCGUUAUGCUAUCGACGGUGAAGUGUUUUGAUUGUUGUGUUUGAAAGUCAACCAGAUUAAAUAGAUUUCUUAUUAACGAGAUCAGCUAUGCCAGCUGUCAAAAACAAAGCCUGGCAGCAUAUUCUGGCUUUUGCGUUCAAUCAUGGGAUAAGAUUACUCAUUUAAAGGUAUAAGGCUUACCUUUUGAUACUAGAAUCCAAUUAGUAUGAUUCUACUUUCAAGGAACAGCUCAUGAAACUUUAGUUACAAAGUACAGAGGUUGUGACAGUGGCAAAAGUGUUAUCAUUUGAAUAUCUUCGUCUGAUUUUGCAGCACUUUAUCCAUUCAUCAACUAUCAGUUCGGAUCUGGCAAAGGUGGCUUGUACCUCUGUGUCGUGUGGCCAACAAAAAUUACCACCGUUUCAGCAGUCUUCCUGCCAUUCCUACCUAACCAACCAACACACAUAGACAUUGACCCCAAAACCAUUUUCUUGUGAGCUAGGGCAUUUUCCUUUUCUGUCCCAUGCAAAAAGACUUUCAAGAUUCCGAUCUCUGUGUAUUAACUCUCUCAGGCCAUCUAAAAGUAACGCAAUGACAGCAAAAUGAAAAAAAGUGAUGGAAUGCCGAAUAGUAAAUAAGCAGCGGCCUGUAGGAGAUCAUCGUGGAACAUCGUGCAAAAGGUUGUUACAUGGCCCGUCUUCGCCUCGUGGUCGCGCCGUCUUUGCCUCGCCCGUCGACCCGUCUUCGCCUCGUCCGUCGACCCGUCUUCGCCUCGUCCGUCGACCCGUCUUCGCCUCGCCCGUCGACCCGUCUUCGCCUCGUCCGUCGACCCGUCUUCGCCUCGUCCGUCGACCCGUCUUCGCCUCGCCCGUCGACCCGUCUUCGCCUCGCCCGUCGACCCGUCUUCGCCUCGC